CCCUGCCGGUCCAGUGGUUAGGGCUCUGCACUUCCAAUGCAGAGGGGGAGGGUUCGACCCCUUGUCAGGGA
rnacentral:tRNA from 1 species